rnacentral:rRNA from 1 species
GUCUACGGCCAUACCACCCUAAAUGCACCCGAUCUCGUCAGAUCUCGGAAGCAAAGCAGGGUCGGGCCUGGUUAGUACUUGGAUGGGAGACUGCCUGGGAAUACUGGGUGUCGUAGGCU